UCCAACUUAUCGCUGGCGGUCUCCUGCGAGUUCCCCCUUUCGGGUGGCAACACAGGACAAGGGUUGCGCUCGUUGCGGGACUUAACCCAACAUCUCACGACACGAGCUGACGACAGCCAUGCAGCACCUCGACCUCACUCCCUUGCGGGAUAGCCGUGUUUCCACGACCGUUGAGAGGCCGUUCGAGCCCAGGUAAGGUUCUUCGCGUUGCGUCGAAUUGAACCACAUGCUCCACCGCUUGUGCGGGCCCCCGUCAAUUCCUUUGAGUUUCAGCCUUGCGACUGUACUCCCCAGGCGGCGCAUUUAACGCGUUAGCUCCGGCACGGACAGAAUGAACUGCCCACACCAAAUGCGCAUCGUUUAGGGCGUGGACUAC
rnacentral:misc_RNA from 1 species